rnacentral:rRNA from 1 species
CCUACGGGAGGCAGCAGUGAGGAAUAUUGGUCAAUGGACGAGAGUCUGAACCAGCCAAGUAGCGUGAAGGAUGACUGCCCUAUGGGUUGUAAACUUCUUUUAUAUGGGAAUAAAAUGUCCCACGUGUGGGAUUUUGUAUGUACCAUAUGAAUAAGGAUCGGCUAAAUCCGUGCCAGCAGCCGCGGUAAUACGGAGGAUCCGAGCGUUAUCCGGAUUUAUUGGGUUUAAAGGGAGCGUAGGUGGCUUGUUAAGUCUGUUGUGAAAGUUUGCGGCUCAACCGGAAAAUUGCAGUUGAAACUGGCAGUCUAGAGUACAGUAGAGGUGGGCGGAAUUCGUGGUGUAGCGGUGAAAUGCUUAGAUAUCACGAAGAACUCCGAUUGCGAAGGCAGCUCACUGGACUGCAACUGACACUGAGGCUCGAAAGUGUGGGUAUCAAACAGGAUUAGAUACCCGUGUAGUC